rnacentral:lncRNA from 1 species
GUGAGGAUUCUGGGGCGGUCUAAGUGUGGCUUCCCCUGCCUGGGUCUGCAGAUCCUGGAUGGAGUUCCUGGCAGGAGUGAGAAAGAAGGCACUGCUGUGAGAAAUUCUGAUUGACAAGAGGGCAGAUUCUAAGCUGGGAGCAGGGCAGAGGGGACAAUGUGACAGUCCCUGGCGAGAAAGACAUGUCCCCACGUGCGUGCUGCGAGGCCCCACUGGUGUCAGAUGGAUCACAAAGCUCCUCUUUGGUGUUGGGUAUUUAAAGCCAGCGACAAAGGAAAGUGACUAAGACAGAUGACAAACUUGAGGCCAGCCUAGGCUACUUAGUGACACCAUGUCCAAACAAACAAACAAACAAACACCAACAAGGUCAUUGCUGCAUCUAAUCGUGCUGCACAUGGACUGAAGCCUCUGAACCGUGAGCCGAAAUAAACCUCUCCUCUCUCAAGUUGUGGGUGGCAGAUUCUUUGCUCCGCCAAGAGGAAAAGUGACUGACAGUGCACCUCUGACUUCUGUGUCUAUCAGUUAGCAGAUACAAGUCUGUUUCUCUAAAUCGGUUACUGAGGGCUUCAGAAAUCCCAGGGAAGGCACCAGUCACUCGGUUCGUUUCAGCAGUAUUUAUUUGUGACGUCCUGCUCAGUGCAGCAGUCAUCUUUUCUGCCAUCCACAUGAUCUUUAUGUGCCAUGGCCACCUGGCAGGCUCCGUUCAGGACCUAGUGAGCCUUAUAGGUGGGAUGAUUUCCAGGUUUAUGAAUGACUUUUCCAUUAUUAUGGAAUUAAUCCUUUUGAUUUGGGGUUCUGGAUGGGUUUCUGAUGUUGUUCAAGAUCGAGCUGUAGAAGCAGCAGUUGCCUCCACCUUUGUAUUCUUUUAGGAGAAAUUAAUCCGGUAUAUUAUGCAAACAAAUAGAAGAAUGGUAAGUUAAAUAUUCUCUUUAUGUGUGUCCUGUUUAUUAGUCUCCUGAUAUCACAUUUAUAAUUUUAAUUUUUAUGUUUUGGAAAUACUUUAACGAUGUUAAAAUGAAAAAAAAAAAAAUGUCCCAUCCCACUACUUUAAACAAAUUGACAGCUUUCAAUCUUUUUUUGGGUCAUUUCAGUUCCUUUUAAUAUGUGUAUAUGAUUUUUGCAUAGCAGAAUAGAGCUGAUAGUAAUAAUUCUAAUAAAAAGUAAAGCCAUUAUUUAUGAGCCCUAGAUACGUGCUAGGGGAAAAGUGCUUCCUAU